UACGGGAGGCAGCAGUGGGGAAUAUUGCACAAUGGGCGCAAGCCUGAUGCAGCCAUGCCGCGUGUAUGAAGAAGGCCUUCGGGUUGUAAAGUACUUUCAGUCGUGAGGAAGGUGUUAAGGUUAAUAACCUUAGCAAUUGACGUUAGCGACAGAAGAAGCACCGGCUAACUCCGUGCCAGCAGCCGCGGUAAUACGGAGGGUGCGAGCGUUAAUCGGAAUUACUGGGCGUAAAGGGCACGCAGGCGGUUAAUUAAGUUGGAUGUGAAAUCCCCGGGCUUAACCUGGGAAUGGCAUUCAAGACUGGUUAGCUAGAGUCUUGUAGAGGGGGUAGAAUUCCAUGUGUAGCGGUGAAAUGCGUAGAGAUGUGGAGGAAUACCGGUGGCGAAGGCGGGCCCCUGGGACAAAGACUGACGCUCAUGUGCGAAAGCGUGGGGAGCAAACAGGGAUUAGAUACC
rnacentral:rRNA from 1 species